CCGAUUUCGUCGGGAACAGAGUGACAGGUGCUGCAUGGCUGUCGUCAGCUCGUGUCGUGAGAUGUUGGGUUAAGUCCCGCAACGAGCGCAACCCUUAUCCCUAGUUGCCAUCAGGUAAAGCUGGGAACUCUGGGGAGACUGCCGGUGAUAACCGGAGGAAGCGGGAUGACGUCAAGUCCUCAUGGCCCUUACAUCCCGGGCUACACACGUGCUACAAUGGCAGGUACAGAGGGCUGCGAAGCCGCGAGGUGGAGCGAAUCUCACAAAGCCGAUCUAAGUCCGGAUUGAAGGCUGCAACUCGCCUUCAUGAAGUCGGAGUCGCUAGUAAUCGUGGAUCAGAAUGCCACGGUGAAUACGUUCCCGGGCCUU
rnacentral:rRNA from 1 species